GAUAUUCAACUUCCUUAAAUUUGGAACCACAACACUCUCUUCUCUUCAUAAUUCUCACUUCAUCAGUCAUCACUCCUCAACUAGCUCCUCGAAUCAGAAUGAAUCAAUCCGAGCAGAAUUCCUUUUCCGUGGAAAAACCUUCACAGGCUUCAUCAGAUCCCUACACACCGCCGCCGCCGAUUGGUUAUCCUACUAGAGAUGCGAUGGUGGGUGAUCCUCCGGCAGCAGCAGUGGAGACUAAGUCCAAGGACGUCGAGGAAAAAAUCAAAAUAUUAGAUGGGGUUAGGAAAUGUCUCGGUGAUUGUUUUCACAUCUUUCCGAAAAUAGUUUCAGCACUUUCAUCAUGCACAUGUUAAAUGAGACUUCUGAUGAGACUGAAGUCGUUUACCACACCAGAACAACAUCACGUAAUGAAAGAUCCAUCAAAUAUGCUUUAUAUAUAUUUUAUCCGUUUGUAAGGACUCCUACGUUGCAUUUUUUAAAGUUGAUUUGCUUCUUUGUUUGAAAGGGAUCAUGGAUCCCCAUUUGCUUCGUGUAUUUUGUUUCUAUAUAAAUCAAAGAAAAAGAAUAAAAAAAGAUCACUCGUAA